rnacentral:rRNA from 1 species
UACGAAGGGGGGCUAGCGUUGCUCGGAAUCACUGGGCGUAAAGCGCACGUAGGCGGAUCGAUCAGUCAGGGGUGAAAUCCCAGAGCUCAACUCUGGAACUGCCUUUGAUACUGUCGAUCUAGAGUAUGGAAGAGGUGAGUGGAAUUCCGAGUGUAGAGGUGAAAUUCGUAGAUAUCGGGAGGAACACCAGUGGCGAAGGCGGGCGACCUGGGCCAAUACUGACGCUGAGGUGCGAAAGCGUGGGGAGCAAACAGG